rnacentral:sRNA from 1 species
UUCACGGGAUCGUUAGCGGAAUCUUAUUGCUGCCCCACUUCUGCCAACCGCCUGCCCCGCUGGAUUGCGAAAAAACAAUCCUGCGUUGGCCCGGUCCUUUCGGUUCCGGAUUCCUCAGCCCCCAGCCCCCCGGGGCCGUCGGGAUCGGGCCUGUUCGCAGAAGGGAGUUAAUCCCGAUACUGGGCCAACGAAAGUUGGUCCUUUU